CUCCUGAUGGCACAGUUGGUAGCGCGUUGGACUGUAAUUGAAAUUACCAUCUUGGAGAUCCACAGGUCGUGUGUUCGAAUCACACUCAGGAGA